rnacentral:rRNA from 1 species
AUUGAACGCUGGCGGCAGGCCUAACACAUGCAAGUCGAGCGGAAGAAGGGAGCUUGCUCCUGGAUUCAGCGGCGGACGGGUGAGGAAUGCCUAGGAAUCUGCCUGGUAGUGGGGGAUAACGUCCGGAAACGGGCGCUAAUACCGCAUACGUCCUGAGGGAGAAAGCGGGGGAUCUUCGGACCUCACGCUAUCAGAUGAGCCUAGGUCGGAUUAGCUAGUUGGUGGGGUAAAGGCCUACCAAGGCGACAAUCCGUAACUGGUCUGAGAGGAUGAUCAGUCACACUGGAACUGAGACACGGUCCAGACUCCUACGGGAGGCAGCAGUGGGGAAUAUUGGACAAUGGGCGAAAGCCUGAUCCAGCCAUGCCGCGUGUGUGAAGAAGGUCUUCGGAUUGUAAAGCACUUUAAGUUGGGAGGAAGGGCAGUAAGUUAAUACCUUGCUGUUUUGACGUUACCAGCAGAAUAAGCACCGGCUAACUUCGUG